GACACACACACACACAUAAGUGCCUUACAUCCGAAGGGAGUUAUUUGUGUUUAAAGAAUCACUAACAUUUAUCACAUGGCCAGAGUGAAACCAAAGAUUUUCCCAUAGCAUUUCUUUUUGCAAAGGCAAUGAAAAACUAUUGUACUACAUAUUACAUCAUGCUCGUUAUACAGUAAACUGCAUCAAUUGCUAUAUUUAAACAUCAAGACAAGCAUUUUAACAAGUCUCAGCUCUGGUCAGGGGAGGGUUAACACUGAGACACACUGAUCAUCAGGUGCAGCCCACCAGUCAAAAUAUCACUUCACCCUACCGUCCCCAAACAACCUGAAAUCCCCCUCAGCACAUUCAAACAUCCUACAGGUUAUUUCUCACAGCUCUGACCAAUGCCAUCCAUCGCUGUCGGGACUGGAUCUGCCUUCAUCUUAAAAACAGCAUUCUCUUUAAAACACAUCCCAUAUCAGUAUGGUGCAAUCAGACAUUUGAUCUGCUUUAAAAGCACAGAAGAAUAGAUGCUGUGCAUGGAGGAAUCUGAUCACACACGUCUGAUAUUAUCCGACCGCAGUGAUGUCAGGCUUUAAAUGGGAACCUACACCUAUUUCCAUGAUGUAAUGGCUUCUCCACGCUCUUUUCUGGCACUGAGGAUUGAAGAUCAAAUAAUGGAGCACCCUAAAAUACACGAUAAGUCAGGAAGCCUAUGGAGACUCAAUACUUGGACGGAUCACUUUACAGAACCAAGUCAGCAUUUUCUGGGAAGACUGACAUAAGAGGACACAAGAUCUCCAACUAGAAGAUCGUCUGUGUGCCAGAGCAGCCGCUUUUAUCAGACACGAGUGUCUAUCUUACAAACACCCAACACUGCUCUCUCAACCACAUCUGAAGAAAUGGUUUCUGCUGAAAUCCCUGCCAUGAUGCAUUGUGGGUGGUUGCCAGGGUGUUGCUGUGCAGUUGCUAUGGUCUUUAGAGUGGCCUUUAGAGAAUAACUACUGCAGUUUCUAGGGUGUUUGCCAGCUGGAUCUUGUGCUUAUCAUCUCUCUUUGUCAGUGAUUUCACGAGAAGCUGAUGUAACGGUAAUGACAGGCGAGUCUUUGGGAUGGGCCCAGAGUCUAAAGCCAUCAACACCUGCUGAUAUGUUGUUUGAUACUUUCGCUGACAGUAGAGCGGCGCGUCCGUCAUCACCAAUGCGUUACGGAGAUCCGUUCUCCAGCCUCGGAGACCAGUGCAUAUGGAUCUGUAAUGUGUGUGUAUGACACACACCUUAUUAACUUCAGUUAAAGAAGUGAGCUACUAAACAUGUUGUGUCAACUAUUAUCUAAAAUAAAGUCAACCUAGAAAGACAAGUGGCUAGUCUAAACACAACACAUGACUGUAUUAAAAUGAUCCCAACUCAGAGGUCUUUACAACCCAGUAAACCCAGUAAAGCGUUAUUUUACAGUUUUAAAUAAUUUUGUCCAUUUAAUGUUGACUGCAUUAAAACAGCAAGUCGGUCCAUGUUUUAUAUAUUUUUUAUGCUACUAAAAUUUAAUUCAAUUAAAUGAAUAAAUAAAUACAAAUUUAAUUGCGUAUUGCUAUCUAAUUAAUUAUUAUUGAGCACAUCUAAAAUGAAAAAUUUGCUGUCAUAUAUAUAUAUAUAUAUAUUUUCACACUGACUUUCCAAAUUAUCUAUAAACAAUACAAUGACAGUAUUUUUAAUAUUUGAUUUUAAUAUUUGUUUAAUGGCUUUUCAUGAUGGCCAUUAUUAUUCACUAUUGAUACUAAUAACUCUUUAAUUUUUGGGUAUAAGAUUAAUAAUUAUAGCCGUUCAUCAUUACAACAUCACUGAAAGCCAGACCCAAACUGAAAAUUAUCAGACUGUUAAUAAAUUAUAAACAAAAACAAAAUUAUAGCUAUUAUUACAACUUUUAAUUUAAUUGAACUUAAAUUCAGGAAAUUUACCACAACAUAAGUACAGAAUAUACAUGGUUGCAGUUAAACAAUCUAUUGAUUUAAUUAGUUCCCAGCAUGCUUUGCACAGAACUUUGAUAAGCAGAAUAAAAGUUUAAAUGAAGUCAUAUUUUAUUAUUGUUUAGUCAGUGUAGUUUGUUGUUUGACCAUAAUUCCAUUAGAAGUUGCAUUAACUCAAAAUGAUCAGUGAAAACUAUUGCAUUAUUUAAAUUUAUUUAUUUUUAGACAAACAUUUUUUUUUUGAGUGUAACCUAGUAUUUUUACAUUAACAAUGUUCAUAAAAAGGUUGCAUACAUUGCAAACAUUCUUAAAAAAGUAAUUAAAAAAGCUGAGAGGAUAUUUAGUUUGAGAAUCUUUGACCGCUGGUUGAAAAACCCCUAUUCUAGGAUCUAUUUGUGAGCUCAAUGCCCAGGUUCACACGCGUCUGUCAUGCUGUGAUGUGUCCUGCAUUACUCCGUUUCCUUUGAGCUUUAACGUGUCACUCUUCCCUCGCCAUAAAGCCAGUCCUGUCUGGUUCCUCAGUCCCAGCAGACCCGAACCCUCACAGUAAUCCUGCAGGACACGCUUGUUCAGCAGCAGGUUAAGCAUGAACCUUCAUCAUGAAAGCGUUUCUCCAGCGUCUCCUGAAUAGCUAUGAGCUCACUGCAUAUUCAAUAUCCUACAUCAUAAAUCAGUGCAUUAGCCAUAUUACUGUGCAUGUCGAGACAGAGUCGGAUAUUUCUCGUUUGCAUUGUCUCAG